rnacentral:lncRNA from 1 species
UUCAUGGCUCCUUUGCUCGCCUGCAAAACGAGUGCCAACUCGACAGGCUCGAUGCCCUCGAACCUGAUAACCGUAUUCAGUGCGAUGCUGGUAUGGUCGAGGUCUGGAAUCCCAACCAUGGUCAGUUCCAAUGCGCUGGUGUGGCUAUGGUUAGGCAUACAAUUGAGCCCCGAGGCCUUGUACUUCCAUCCUACAGCAAUGCCCCUCAGCUCACCUACAUUGUUAAAGGUGAUGAAGAUUGAUUCAUUUCGCUUUCUGUUUUAUUUUAGUUGGUGUCAAAGCUUAUGUUGCACUGCUUGAUUAUUGAUUUCUGCGAACGUAUAUUCAGGUAGGGGUAUGAUUGGGACCUUGUUUCCUGGAUGUGCUGAAACAUUCCAAGAAUCUCAAGAGUCGGGUAGGACACAAGAUCAGCAUCAGAAGAUUCACCAUUUCCGUGAGGGCGAUGUCAUUGCCUUGGCUGCUGGAGUUGCUCACUGGUGCUACAACGAUGGCAAUGAACCCGUUAUAACUGUUACCGUUAUUGACACCACCAACAUUGCCAACCAGCUUGACAUGAAUCCUAGAGUAAGAAAGAGCCAUCUAAAUGUACAUGUAUUAGAAAUAUCCGCAUGCUGCUAUACUUCGGCUCAGUAGUGUUUUACGUAGUUUUUAAAGCUGAGCAGUGAGCAAUAUAAAAUCUAGAAAUGACUGUUUUAGUUACUAUAAUUUCUAGAAUUAUCUCUAGAAGUAAGAUUUACAACUCCAGGCUCAAGUUCAAUUGAUAAGAAUAGCUAAUACAUAAAUUUUCUUGGACUUGUUACAGAACUUCCAUCUGGCUGGUAACCCAGAAAAUGAGUUCCAGAAAUUUCAGCAGGCGGGUGAGCGUGGCCGGAGAGAAUAUUCCCACCAAGGUGGCAAGGGUCAACAAGGCUCUUGCAGAAAUCUCUUCUGUGGAAUUGACACAAGACUCAUCUCCGAAUCAUUCAAUAUUGACGAACAGUUGGCUACGAAGCUUCAAGGCCAAAAUGACUUCAGAGGCAGCAUUGUGAAGGUUGAAGGUGGACUUCGGGUAGUCAGGCCACCAAGGACCGAACAAGAGAGAUUGGAGGAAGAAGAGCAAGGCCAAGGAGGAAGUUACAAUGGUCUAGAGGAAACUUUCUGUACUAUGAGGAUUAAAGAAAACAUUGCUGAUCCCUCACGCGCCGAUGUUUACGUCCCUGAAGUUGGUCGUGUCAGCACCGUCAACAGCAAUAAUCUACGUAUUCUUAGGUUGCUCCAACUCAGCGCUUCCCAUGUCUCUCUCAGCAAUGUAAGUCAAAACACUCGCAACAGUAAUGGCCAGUCAUACAUGAACGAUGUUUAUACUCUGUAACUUCUGAUACAUAAAACAAUUCCUUGGUCAUGGCAGGGUGCUAUUAGAUUACCUCACUGGCACGUAAACGCACACAGCAUAAUCUAUGCAUUGAGGGGUCAAGCUAAGAUUCAGGUGGUGGAUGAAAAUGGCAACAGGGUCUUCGAUGGCAAUGUGAAGGAAGGACAAGUCCUGACAGUGCCACAGAACUUCGUGGUAGUGAAACGAGCAGAGAGUGAUAGAUUUGAAUGUGUUGCCUUCAACACCAACGAUAACGCUGUGGCAU